rnacentral:rRNA from 1 species
AUGAACGCUGGCGGCGUGCCUAAUACCUGCAAGUCGAGCGAACAGAUGAGGAGCUUGCUCCUCUGACGUUAGCGGCGGACGGGUGAGUAACACGUGGAUAACCUACCUAUAAGACUGGGAUAACUACGGGAAACCGGAGCUAAUACCGGAUAAUAUAUUGAACCGCAUGGUUCAAUAGUGAAAGACGGUUUUGCUGUCACUUAUAGAUGGAUCCGCGCCGCAUUAGCUAGUUGGUAAGGUAACGGCUUACCAAGGCAACGAUGCGUAGCCGACCUGAGAGGGUGAUCGGCCACACUGGAACUGAGACACGGUCCAGACUCCUACGGGAGGCAGCAGUAGGGAAUCUUCCGCAAUGGGCGAAAGCCUGACGGAGCAACGCCGCGUGAGUGAUGAAGGUCUUCGGAUCGUAAAACUCUGUUAUUAGGGAAGAACAAAUGUGUAAGUAACUAUGCACGUCUGGACGGUACCUAAUCAGAAAGCCACGGCUAACUACGU